rnacentral:lncRNA from 1 species
AGCUCAUUCACUGAGAUGAAUGAAAAAAGCCAUCUGGGGUUUUUCUUUUUUGACUUCCUUUCCUUUUUCCUCCAUCCUUGUAAUCAAAUUUGAGCAAAAUCAAAUGGGGCUUUCUAUGAAAGUACCUUUUGUUGAUCUGAACGAGCUGGUAAUUUACAAAAUACCCUUCUUUUGUGAGGAAAGCUAAAGAAGAAGGGGAAAAAAAGAAUCAGUAGCUUUUAAAGCCGGGCCUUGGUGGGACUCUAAAUGCAGUGAAAGCUGUCUGUGUUGAGAGACUGAAAUGUAUUUCAAAGCCAGGCCUUAUCCAGGGCACAGGAAGAAACAAACCAUAUGCAUUUGGUGGGAAGAGAAAAAUAUGAAUGGAGAGGCAGAAGGGGAAAGAGAAGAGGCAGAUAAUUGGCUUUCUCUUUGUCAGCUGAGUCACAAUCCCAAAGGACAACCUGGACAUCACAACAGUACUGUGCUGUCUGAAGGCUCUGACUACAACCCAAAGGAGGUAACAUCCUGUAGUGGCCAUCCCCACAGUGACAUUACUCACUGCUAGGCAUAGAUUUGACUUGGUCUUUUUUUCUUUAAAAAAUGUCAUUUGCUUUCCUUACCCUUACUGCACUCCAUGAAUGUGAAGAUGUAUUGGAGAUAUUGGGCCCCAUGCAUCUGAAGAACUGGACUGUAAUCCGUGAAAGCUCACUAUGACAUAUAUUCAUUAGUUUCAAAGGCAUUCUGUAGUGAUGAUUUUUUUUCUAAGUCAUAACAUGAUUAGAGGCGGGAAAACAAAAAAAAUUAAAAGUAUGACUAUAUUUUAAGGAAGACACUGAGCUGGUGCCAACAGAGAAGGACCGAGAGCAUUAUUCCCAGGGAAUCCCAAGACA